rnacentral:rRNA from 1 species
AGCGAACGCUGGCGGCAGGCUUAACACAUGCAAGUCGAGCGGGCCUUUCGGGGUCAGCGGCGGACGGGUGAGUAACGCGUGGGAACGUUCCCUCUUGUUCGGAAUAACUCAGGGAAACUUGAGCUAAUACCGGAUACGCCCUUUUGGGGAAAGGCUUGCUGCCGGAGGAUCGGCCCGCGUCUGAUUAGCUAUUUGGUGAGGUAACGGCUCACCAAGGCGACGAUCAGUAGCUGGUCUGAGAGGAUGAUCAGACACACUGGGACUGAGACACGGCCCAGACUCCUACGGGAGGCAGCAGUGGGGAAUAUUGGACAAUGGGCGCAAGCCUGAUCCAGCCAUGCCGCGUGAGUGAUGAAGGCCUUAGGGUUGUAAAGCUCUUUUAUCCGGGACGAUAAUGACGGUACCGGAGGAAUAAGCCCCGGCUAACUUCGUG